UCCGGUUGAUCCUGCCGGACCCCACUGCUAUCAGGAUGGGACUAAGCCAUGUUAGUUUGUGUCUUUUAGCCAUGGUAGAGAUACGGCGUAAUGCUCAGUAACACGUAGCUAAUCUGCCCUUAGGAUGGAGAUAACCCCGGAAAACUGGGGCUAAUAUCCAAUAGAUGAGAAAUUCUGGAAAGAUUUCUCGUUCAAAGAUUUCUUAAACCAUGCUUUAAGUUAUGCCUAAGGAUGAGGCUGCGGCCGAUCAGGUUGUUGGUGAGGUAAUGGCUCACCAAGCCUAUAACCGGUACGGGCCGUGAGAGCGGUAGCCCGGAGAUGGGCACUGAGACAAGGGCCCAGGCCCUACGGGGCGCAGCAGGCGCGAAAACUCCACAAUGCGCGCAAGCGUGAUGGGGCUAUCCUGAGUGCAGUCCGCAGAGGAUUGCUUUUCUAUAGUGUAAGUAAUUGUAGGAAUAAGGGGAGGGCAAGUCUGGUGUCAGCCGCCGCGGUAAUACCAGCUCCCCGAGUGGUGGGGAUGAUUAUUGGGCCUAAAGCGUUCGUAGCCUGCUUAAAAAGUCUUCUGUUAAACCCAGCGACCUAAUCGUUGGCCUGCAAAAGAUACUUUUGAGCUAGAGGGCGGAAGAAGCCGACGGUACUCUUGGGGUAGGGGUGAAAUCCUAUAAUCCUAGGAGGACCACCAGUGGCGAAAGCGGUCGGCUAGAACGCGCCUGACGGUGAGGGACGAAAGCUGGGGGAGCGAACCGGAUUAGAUACCCGGGUAGUCCCAGCUGUAAACGAUGCAAGCUAGGUGUUGGCAUAACUACGUGUUAUGUCAGUGCCGUAAGGAAGCCGUUAAGCUUGCCGCCUGGGAGUACGUCGCAGACUGAACUUGAGGAUUGCGGGGAGCACCACAGGGUGAGCUGCGUCAAUUGA
rnacentral:rRNA from 1 species